rnacentral:rRNA from 1 species
UGGGGAAUAUUGGACAAUGGGCGCAAGCCUGAUCCAGCCAUACCGCGUGGGUGAAGAAGGCCUUCGGGUUGUAAAGCCCUUUUGUUGGGAAAGAAAAGCAUUCGGUUAAUACCCGAUUGUUCUGACGGUACCCAAAGAAUAAGCACCGGCUAACUUCGUGCCAGCAGCCGCGGUAAUACGAAGGGUGCAAGCGUUACUCGGAAUUACUGGGCGUAAAGCGUGCGUAGGUGGUUGUUUAAGUCUGUCGUGAAAGCCCUGGGCUCAACCUGGGAAUUGCGAUGGAAACUGGGCGACUAGAGUGUGGCAGAGGGUAGUGGAAUUCCUGGUGUAGCAGUGAAAUGCGUAGAGAUCAGGAGGAACAUCCGUGGCGAAGGCGACUGCCUGGGCCAACACUGACACUGAGGCACGAAAGCGUGGGGAGCAAACAGGAUUAGAUACCCUGGUAGUCCACGCCCUAAACGAUGCGAACUGGAUGUUGGGUGCAAUUUGGCACGCAGUAUCGAAGCUAACGCGUUAAGUUCGCCGCCUGGGGAGUACGGUCGCAAGACUGAAACUCAAAGGAAUUGACGGGGGUCAUAGCUG